UGUUCGUUGGAAAUUUCCUACGAUUACUCAAUUGAUUUGAAGCGCUUUUUCUCUAAUGAAUGGAUUUGUCACUUUUGCAUUACAUGUCGGAAAUAUUGUCGUUCAACAGUUUGCCUGACAGCCGUUCAAUGACAUUGUCUGCCUUAAUGUGUUUCAUUUGUUCAUAGUGUUGUGUACCGCGUGUAUUCAGUGUCUGUUAUUGAUCGACUUUCGUAAUAUUUUGAAAAGUGUUGUACAUUAGUCGAAGUACAAUUCAUUGUAUACGUUACAAAGCGCCACUGUCACUGACUUUACGAAGAAAGGAACAUUAAACUUGGGUCACCAACAUGUCAUUUGUGCGGACUGGGAAGGCCACACCACGGCUUAGGACUGUUUGGUAAGGUAUUUCAUCGGUGCGUUAGAACACAAGGAAAAGAACUACGGCAUAUUCCGAACGAUCGGUUUAUGAAUAUUUUCACGAGACAACAAAAAAAUCACCCAAAGUGGAUAUCAACCGAGUACACUAAGGUCGCUUUUCACGGGGCUUUUGAAGUAGAAUACUUCUCUCAGGAAGUUCGGCAACAUAGGGAUGUGAAAUGAAAAUCUAAA